AGCAUAGGAGUGGAAUUUUUCGGAAGGAAACAACUAUGACUGAGUGGCGGACGGGUGAGUAACGCGUGGGUAACCUGCCUCAUACGGGGGGAUAACAGUUAGAAAUGACUGCUAAUACCGCAUAAGCGCACAAAACCGCAUGGUUUGGUGUGAAAAACUGAGGUGGUAUGAGAUGGACCCGCGUCUGAUUAGCUAGUUGGAGAGGUAACGGCUCACCAAGGCAACGAUCAGUAGCCGACCUGAGAGGGUGACCGGCCACAUUGGGACUGAGACACGGCCCAAACUCCUACGGGAGGCAGCAGUGGGGAAUAUUGCACAAUGGGGGAAACCCUGAUGCAGCAACGCCGCGUGAGUGAAGAAGUAUUUCGGUAUGUAAAGCUCUAUCAGCAGGGAAGAAGAGAGAAAAAAAAAAUCUUUUAAGCCCCGGCUAGGGGGGAAAAAACAGCCGCGGUAAUACGUAGGGGGCAAGCGUUAUCCGGAUUUACUGGGUGUAAAGGGAGCGUAGACGGCUUGAUAAGUCUGAAGUGAAAGGCCAAGUGCUUAACCAGGGAACUGCUUUGGAAACUAUGAGGCUAGAGUGCUGGAGAGGUAAGCGGAAUUCCUAGUGUAGCGGUGAAAUGCGUAGAUCUUUGGGGAAACACCAGUGGCGAAGGCGGCUUACAGGACAGAAACNGACGNUGAGGCUCGAAAGCGAGGAGGGCUCUUUAAGGAAGANACCNNGGNAGUCCACGAAAAAAAGGAGACGCCUAAUUGANGUUGGUGGGCAAAGCCCAUCGGUGCCGUCGCAAACGCAAUAAGCAUUCCACGUGGGGAGUACGUUCGCAAGAAUGAAACUCAAAGGAAUUGACGGGGACCCGCACAAGCGGUGGAGCAUGUGGUUUAAUUCGAAGCAACGCGAAGAACCUUACCAAGUCUUGACAUCCUCCUGAAUGAUGGGUAAAGCCAUCAGGCCUUCGGGACAGGAGAGACAGGUGGUGCAUGGUUGUCGUCAGCUCGUGUCGUGAGAUGUUGGGUUAAGUCCCGCAACGAGCGCAACCCUUAUCAUUAGUAGCCAGCAGGUAGAGCUGGGGACUCUAGUGAGACUGCCAGGGAGAACCUGGAGGAAGGUGGGGAUGACGUCAAAUCAUCAUGCCCCUUAUGAUUUGGGCUACACACGUGCUACAAUGGCGUAAACAGAGGGAGGCGAAAGUGAGAGCUGGAGCGAACCCCAAAAAUAACGUCUCAGUUCGGAUUGUAGUCUGCAACUCGACUACAUGAAGCUGGAAUCGCUAGUAAUC
rnacentral:rRNA from 1 species